UGGGGGAGAGGGCGAGGGUACACUAUACAUAAUGCAUUCAGACACACAAACACACACGCUAGACCAUAAAACGAAGCAAUCGGACACCCAAACAAACAUGGUCGGAGGCUAAAAAAAGUACAUUAACAAUCAAAACCCAAAUACUACUUCACAUACGGAGGACAUAGAAAUAACCAUAUCGAAAACAAAACAUAAGAUUCGCAUCACUGCAACAUUUAGCACCUCAGGACAAAUCCAUAAACAUUAGCAAUACGAUCCAUUGACAACAAAAACACAAUGCGGGCGCACCAAUAGGACCAAAUACAUAACAUUUUCAAAAUGAUACAUGUGUAGACAGAAAUACGGGUCGGGGGGAGAGGGCGAGGGUACACUAUACAUAAUGCAUUCAGACACUCAAACACACACGCUAGACCAUAAAACGAAGCAAUCGGACACCCAAACAAACAUGGUGGGAGGCUAAAAAAAGUACAUUAACAAUCAAAACCCAAAUACUACUUCACAUACGGAGGACAUAGAAAUAACCAUAUCGAAAACAAAACAUAAGAUUCGCAUCACUGCAACAUUUAGCACCUCAGGACAAAUCUAUAAACAUUAGCAAUACGAUCCAUUGACAACAAAAACACAAUGCGGGCGCACCAAUAGGACCAAAUACAUAACAUUUUCAAAAUGAUACAUGUGUAGACAGAAAUACGGGUCGGGGAGAGAGGGCGAGGGUACACUAUACAUAAUGCAUUCAGACACUCAAACACACACGCUAGACCAUAAAACGAAGCAAUCGGACACCCAAACAAACAUGGUGGGAGGCUAAAAAAAGUACAUUAACAAUCAAAACCCAAAUACUACUUCACAUACGGAGGACAUAGAAAUAACCAUAUCGAAAACAAAACAUAAGAUUCGCAUCACUGCAACAUUUAGCACCUCAGGACAAAUCCAUAAACAUUAGCAAUACGAUCCAUUGACAACAAAAACACAAUGCGGGCGCACCAAUAGGACCAAAUACAUAACAUUUUCAAAAUGAUACAUGUGUAGACAGAAAUACAGGUCGGGGGGAGAGGGCGAGGGUACACUAUACAUAAUGCAUUCAGACACUCAAACACACACGCUAGACCAUAAAACGAAGCAAUCGGACACCCAAACAAACAUGGUGGGAGGCUAAAAAAAGUACAUUAACAAUCAAAACCCAAAUACUACUUCACAUACGGAGGACAUAGAAAUAACCAUAUCGAAAACAAAACAUAAGAUUCGCAUCACUGCAACAUUUAGCACCUCAGGACAAAUCUAUAAACAUUAGCAAUACGAUCCAUUGACAACAAAAACACAAUGCUGGCACACCAAUAGGACCAAAUACAUAACAUUUUCAAAAUGAUACAUGUGUAGACAGAAAUACGGGUCGGGGGGAGAGGGCGAGGGUACACUAUACAUAAUGCAUUCAGACACUCAAACACACGCGCUAGACCAUAAAACGAAGCAAUCGGACACCCAAACAAACAUGGUGGGAGGCUAAAAAAAGUACAUUAACAAUCAAAACCCAAAUACUACUUCACAUAUGGCGGACAAAGAAAUAACCAUAUCGAAAACAAAACAUAAGAUUCGCAUCACUGCAACAUUUAGCUCCUCAGGACAAAUCCAUAAACAUUAGCAAUACGAUCCAUUGACAACAAAAACACAAUGCGAGCACACCAAUAGGACAAAAUACUGUUGUAACCUUGCCUUGCACAAGUGCUUUAGGUGCGCACUAGCGCACUAGUGAACGUAAACAGGAAGACACUAGAAGAGUGAGAAGUACAGUGCAUCUGGGAAUUGUUGUAACUCUAGGGUUGUUCCUGGAGUUAGUGAAAAAUUGUAGACUCCCCUUUGCUGUGAGUUCUCCCGGUGUGUGGCGAAGCUCCAAAGCCAAGCGCUAUUUCAGCUAAAAAGUGGUCGACGUAACAAAGAUGACCCAUGGAAAUUCUUUCAAUACCAGCUUAGGCGCCAACUUGCCUUAGCUGACAUAGAAGACAGCAUCUUGGUUACAUGCGGCUUUUGAAUGAUAAAAUAGAAAAAGGAUGAAUCACACCUUUCAGUAUAUUCUGUGACGUUUUAUGACCAGCUAUUAUAACACAGUGCAGGACAGGCCACUGUCCUGUUGGCUCAUAUUUCUCACGGCCAUGGCCAAAUUUCGAUUCACAGUGCCCCCGUUCCUCCAUAUUCUGUUUGGCUGCCUGAUCUCCGUCUCAACAGGUCAGAGAAACCAAAAUUCUCGACCUGUAUGCCCUACGCAAUACAGAAGAGUUUGAUGAUAUUGAUGAUGGUGACUUCUUAUGCCCUAUUUUCUGUCUUGGUGAGAGUUAUUGUAAGAUUGAAUUAUUGAUCUGCAGAUGUCGAAGUAUUGACUAGCCUUUGUAAUCAAUACUGCGAACGGUAGUGAGAGCUGCAUCGUCGUCAAACACCAAUUCCCUAAUCAGGAUAUGUCGUCUUCUCGUUUUGGUCAAGCCAGUUUAAGAAGCCUUCCAUCCGAUCUACUGUGGAUAUAUACAUCUUCAAGGUUUUUAAACACGCUAUGAGAGUACAGGCGAAACAAUUCCGAAUAGUGUUAAUGGCCAAAACCCAACCUUGUUUUAUCCUGCUCUUGAUAGAUAAUAACUAAAAGUCUAAGAGGAAUAACUGUAAAACUUUACAGUUCCUUUCAUGUGUGGCUGACAUUAGUUUCAAUAGCUUAUUUAGACAGACAAUUUUCACUAGUAAAAACCACUUUUGCUUAGUGUGAGCAUAUUGCUAAAUGAAGUUCAUAUUUCUAUUACUUUCUACUCGUCACCCAAGAGAAAUUUUAUUUAAAACAAUUUUUAUAAUGCAUGUAUCUUUUUUACUACUUCCAAAAACCUGAUUUGAUUGUCACUAACUUUCAAAUUGAAGGGGAUCUACUACAAGUGAGAUUUUUUUUUACUUUCUCCAAUAACAUUGUGUGUUGUAUUUUUUAAAAACAUAAAGGUAUCACUUUAAAUUACUUGUCCUUGUGAAAUAAUAAGUAAAAGUCAGCUAAAGUACAUGCUAUAUUUAAUCAGCUUUAAAGAUGCUGUCCAUUGUUGUAACAUAAAAUAGUCUUACAUUUUUAUUAGCAAAUAUAUAUAUAUAUUUAUAACAUGUCUAAACUAGUUUGAAUUUCUUGUCUUUUUUGUCUCAGCUGGUCAUGAAUUUUGAGAUACUACAGCUAAUAUUUUUAUAAGUCAAUAAGCUCUAAGUCUCAUGUUAGUUAAAGUAUUGUUUUUAAUUUUUUUAGUGUGCUAGUUAACUUGAUUCAGCUUACAUUCACAGUUAAAAAAAACACUGAUUAUACAUAUACAGAUUUAAUGUUUCUGGUGAGCAAUACUACUGUCAACAGCCAUUACCAAUUAGCCUACUCGUACUAGAUCUGGCUCUAUUGAUCACUACUCAUAUAUUGCCUAGAUAUAAACAACUACUAGUUUGGACUAGACAUUCUAAUAGGUUCUAUUUUCUUUUUUUUUAAUUGUUCUCACAAUUCCAGUAGGAUGAGUAGGUACCAAACUGUGCUAUUAUUCAUAAAGAUCUAGAUCUUAACUUUUAAGUACCAAAGAAGUACGCAAAGGAUGUUGAAUGGUACACAAAGUGCUAUAAUUGCCACCAUUCAAUGUGUGGAUUCAAGUAUUUACCCAGAUACUGCCACAAUAUAUUCAUAGUUUUCAAAAGAGUUUGCACCCAGUGCCAGAAGCUGUAUAAAUACAUUUAACAGUAAGUAUUUAAUUAAUUCAUAAUUUAUUUUUAAACAGUAUGUAAGUCUAUUUUUAUUGUAAGAAUCCAUGUGCUAUUUUAUUUAAAGCUAAUUUUCUUGGUAAAUAUUUACACAAUAUUGUUGUUAUAUUGUAAAUAAAACAUUAUAUUCCCUUCAGUAUGUGCAUUUUUAAAGUGAUAAUUGCCUCAUGCAGGCCAAUACCACUCUUUUUUUAUCUAAGGUGUUUUCCUUCACAUUAUAUUUUCUUGCAUACGAAUUAAACAUACAACAAUUGUCAAUUAGAAGUACAGAUUUACCAGUUAUCUUGGUUGAAAAGGAUGUCAGAUGAGUUGAGAAAAUGCUUAAAGAAAGUCUUUACAUAAUUAUUUGAACUUAAGUCACUAUAAAUUUUUAGAUAUUUUUAAAAUAUAUUGUUUACAAAAGCAAAUAAUCUAAGAAUCUGUGAAAUUCGCAAUAUCUUAUUGGGAAAAAUAUGAGGAUGAUGCUGAGAUUAUAUUUAUUCUUUAAUUGUGAUACUAUUUUACAUCUCUCUAAAUGUAUUUUAAUUUUAUUUAAUUGAUUUGCUAAUGAGUGAUAAUUGUAAAGUUUAUUUAAAAAAAAACAACAUUUGUUGGAAUCAAAAAAUAAAUCUACAUUAAUUAAUAAUCAACCUAUAAAAUAGAAUACUUAGACAUUUUUUAAAAAUAUAUUCAUGCAUUAGACAUUAAUAUUUAGAAUGUAUUUAAUAUUUUGAUGAUACCCAUUAUGUUCUUCAUUAAAUAGUGUUGCAGAUUUUAUAUAAAAUUGAUAUAGAUGUAAAAAUUAUUUACAUUUUCAUGCAUCAAAAAUUACUUGAAAUCAAAGCAUUACUUUUCAUUUUUUUAAAUAAUAUUUUCAGCAUAAUAAUUAAUUCAUACUUUAAAAGUAUAGAUACCAGACACUAAAAUAA